UUGCGGCCGUAUCACGUUGAAACGUCGGUUCCUGUAUGAUCACGGAAGUUAAGCAACGUCAAGCCUGGUCAGUGCCUUUAUGAGUGACCACUUGGGAAUACCAGGUGCUGUAA